rnacentral:rRNA from 1 species
UACGGAGGGUGCGAGCGUUAAUCGGAAUCACUGGGCGUAAAGCGCGCGUAGGCGGCUUUUCAAGUCAGGGGUGAAAUCCCACGGCCCAACCGUGGAACUGCCUUUGAAACUGUAGAGCUUGAGUGUCGGAGAGGGUGGCGGAAUUCCAGGUGUAGGAGUGAAAUCCGUAGAUAUCUGGAGGAACACCGGUGGCGAAGGCGGCCACCUGGACGACAACUGACGCUGAGGUGCGAAAGCGUGGGUAGCAAGCAGG